CGGGGGACAGUUCCUCUGAAUAUGGUCAGGAUGGCCAUAUCUGGAACACUUAUUUCUCCCUUCAUCACAAAAACCAUGGUGUAGCUGACCACAAAACUUGCAAGGAGUAUACGACAAAGCUGUCUGGGCACCACUGGCUUGAGAUUGGACACCUUGUGCCUUAAACCCACUAUUACUCUAAACGUGGCGAUCACCAAACAACUUAGGAUAUGGAGCACCAGUCAUUGAACCUCCUCACUUCUUCUUAG
rnacentral:lncRNA from 1 species